UACGUAGGGACCAAGCGUUGUUCGGAUUUACUGGGCGUAAAGGGCGCGUAGGCGGCGUGACAAGUCACUUGUGAAAUCUCUGGGCUUAACCCAGAACGGCCAAGUGAAACUGUUGUGCUAGAGUGCAGAAGGGGCAAUCGGAAUUCUCGGUGUAGCGGUGAAAUGCGUAGAUAUCAAGAGGAACACCUGAGGCGAAGGCGGGUUGCUAGGCUGACACUGACGCUGAGUGCGCGAAAGCCAGGGGAGCAAACGGG
rnacentral:rRNA from 1 species